AGUCUGGUGCCAGCAGCCGCGGUAAUUCCAGCUCCAAUAGCGUAUAUUAAAGUUGUUGCAGUUAAAAAGCUCGUAGUUGUAUUUCGAGGGAUUGAAUGUAAAAAGUUCUUUAGCCAAACUUUGUCCGCCGAAAGGCGUGCACGAGGUUUUAGCGUCCCUUUUGUGCUCGUAACAUUUUCAGUUGAUCUUUUUUGAAAGAUUGAAGAUGGGGCAUGUUAAUUUUCUAAAGACCUCUGUUUCGUUUAUUCGGGGCAGAUUUUCAGGGAUUUAGAUAUUUUACUUUGAAUAAAUAAGAGUGUUCAAAGCAGGCGUUUUUUGCUUGAAUUCAUCAGCAUGGAAUAAUGGAAUAAGAUUUUGGUCUUAUUUUGUUGGUUUCUAGGACCAAAGUAAUGAUUAAUAGGGAUAGUUGGGGUCGUUUAUAUUAAAUUGUCAGAGGUGAAAUUCUUGGAUUUAUUUAAGAUAAACUACUGCGAAAGCAUUCGGCAAGGAUGUUUUCAUUAAUCAAGAACGAAAGUUAGGGGAUCGAAGAUGAUUAGAUACCGUCGUAGUUUUAACAGUAAACGAUGCCGUCCGCCGAUAAUGAGGAUUUGUUAUUUCAAGACUCUUGUUGCAGGCAGAGAGAAAUCAGAGAUUUUGGGUUCCGGGGGGAGUAUAGUCGCAAGAACGAAACUUAAAGGAAUUGACGGAAGGGCACCACCAGGAGUGGAGCCUGCGGCUUAAUUUGACCCAACACGGGAAACUUUACCAGGUCCGGACAUUAUGAGGAUUGACAGAUUGAAAGCUCUUUCUUGAUUUGAUGGUUGGUGGUGCAUGGCCGUUCUUAGUUGGUGGUGUGAACCGUCUGCUUAAUUGCGAUAACGAGCGAGACCUUCAUUUGCUAAAUAGUUACGCUCAGGUUUUCACUUGGGUGGACAACUUCUUAGAAAGACUAACGGAGUUUUAUCCGUGGGAAGCUGGAGGCAAUAACAGGUCUGUGAUGCCCUUAGAUGUUCUGGGCCGCACGCGCGCUACACUGAAAAUAUCAACAAGUUCUUUGGUGUUUUAUUUCUUUCUUUUUUUUCUAAUUUUCCGCAAGGAAGAGAAGGGAGAUGGGGUUAGAAAAAGCCAACUACUGGUCCGAUAGGAUUGGUUAAUCUUUGAAAUGUUUUCGUGAUAGGGCUAGAUUCUUGCAAUUAUUAAUCUUCAACGAGGAAUUCCUAGUAAGUGCAGUUCAUCAGACUGCGCUGAUUACGUCCCUGCCCUUUGUACACACCGCCCGUCGCUCCUACCGAUUGAGAAUUCAGGUGAAAUAUCGGGAUUUUUACUCUUUUUGGAAAGAGGGCAACCUUUGGCCAAUUUUUCGAGUGAGAAAAACUUUCUUGAAUCUUAAUUCUUAGAGGAAGGAGAAGUCGUAACAAGGUUUCCGUAGGUGAACCUGCGGAAG
rnacentral:rRNA from 1 species